AGAAAAAGAGAGAAAAGAGGGAAGGUUUUGGUGGAAGACUUAAAGAAAAACUAAGAGGUUUUUCCUCCCACCCACAUGCCAUUGUUGAGAAUCAAGGAGAGCUUGGAGGUUUGGCUUAAAGAUUUCAAGGAAACGUAUAACUAGAGGAAAUGAGCUAUGGUGGCAUGUCGAACGAGGUAAAGAGUGAUCGACAAAUAAGAUUAGUUAUAUACAUGCAAGAAUUAAUAGCAACUUAGCAUCCCACUAUUGCAAGGGAGAUUCAAGAGUAGGCCGAGUGUCACUUCUAUUAAGUGUGACCCUUGUGCCCAAGUGAGCUCUAGCUAGAGAAUCCUUGGGUCAUCAACAGGCUGCAAGACAUGACUGGGGCCAUGGUCUGUGAUAUGUACGUGGCUAGACCACCAGUGAUAUUGACGGUUGAGAACGCUUGAUUUCUCCAAUGUCAGCCAACAUCGUUGAGACUACCAUGGCAUGUGGGAUCUGGUGGAGUGGGGCUCUCGGAUGUUAUUAUGUGGAAACGGGUCCACGGGUUUAUUUUAUUUCCUACUCGAGAGUAAAGUCUCUUUAGGUUUUCAAACUUGUAUUUUCUACGCAUGGUGAGAGCAAUAAGAUUUUCGAUAGCUCCCCCGUUUAUACAAUGAUGUGGUUUUAACUCCUCGCGCACGAGAUAAGUGAUAACUGCAGGCGUGUUGUCCAGCAUAUCCUGUUUUGCUACAACAUAGGUAAUGGCAUCUCAUAACCCUCCACUCCAAGUCGUUCCGCUACCUAGGAUCGUGUCACGUAAAACCACUAGAUGUUAUAAAGUAUUGUUAACCUUAUGGAUAUGUAUUUGUUAAAGACUUGUGAUUGUGUAAUGAAUAUUAAGUGUGACGUUAAUUUUGUUAAAAGUUUAAUGACAUUUGGAUCA